rnacentral:rRNA from 1 species
UGUUAAGUUACUAAGGGCGUACGGUGGAUGCCUUGGCGCCAGAAGCCGAUGAAGGGCGUGGUACACUGCGAUAAGCCUCGAGGAGUCGUGUGCAGACGUUAUAUCCGAGGAUACCCGAAUGGGGAAACCCGCUUGGGCAAUACCCAAGCACCACCCGCUGAAUAUAUAGGCGGGUCGGAGGGAACGGGGGGAACUGAAACAUCUUAGUACCCCCAGGAAAAGAGAAUAUUCCCUGAGUAGUGGCGAGCGAAAAGGGAACAGCCCAAACCUGUGUCACUCAACGGUGUGCAGACUUAUGUGACAUUGGUGUUGUAGGGCCUGGAUGGGGUGCUGCAUAAACCCCAAGGAGUUACAAAUCUGGCUGUUAGUCGAAUCUUGCAGGAAAGGGGAACCAUAGAGGGUAACAGUCCCGUAGACGAAAACAGACCAGACUUCUGCCAGUGACCCUGAGUACCACGGGACACGAGAAAUCCUGUGGGAAGCUGGGAGGACCACCUCCCAAGGCUAAAUACUUACUGGCGACCGAUAGCGUACAAGUACCGUGAGGGAAAGGUGAAAAGAUCCCCGGCGAGGGAAGUGAAAUAGAACCUGAAACCGUAUGCCUACAAGCGGUCGGAGCACUAUGGCGUCUCUUGAUACCGAAUGGACUGGGGCUUCCUCCUUCGGGAGGUCAAGCGUGAGGUCCAGAGGUCAACCCCCUUCGGGGGUGCUGGGAGCGCAAGGUGUGACGGCGUGCCUUUUGGAGAAUGAGCCGGUGAGUUACUUCUCUGUUGCUAGGUUAAGGCAGUUACAGCCGGAGCCGUAGCGAAAGCGAGUCUGAUAAGGGCGCAUUAGUGGCAGGGAGUAGACACGAAACCAGGUGAGCUACCCAUGGUCAGGCUGAAGCGAGGCUAACCCCUCGUGGAGGGCCGAACCUUUCGCAGUUGCAAAUGCGUGGGAUGAACUGUGGGUAGUGGUGAUAUGCCUAACGAACCUGGAGAUAGCUUGUUCUCCCCGAAAUAGCUUUAGGGCUAGCCUCACGCGUUUAGUACCGGAGGUAGAGCACUGGAUGGGCUAGGGGGCUAAUAGCUUACCAAACUCAACCAAACUCCGAAUGCCGGUACUCUGGAGCGUGGGAGUCGGACUAUGGGAGAUGAGUUUCAUAGUCGAGAGGGAAAGAGCCCAGACCGACGGCUAAGGUCCCCAAAUUCAAGCUAAGUGGGAAACGAAGUGGGAUUGCUCAGACAGCCAGGAGGUUGGCCUAGAAGCAGCCAUCCUUUAAAGAGUGCGUAACAGCUCACUGGUCGAGCGGUCCUGCGCGGAAAA